UUGUAAAAGAACUUAUGCUCAUUUUUGGGGUAUGAACCCAAUAGCUUACUAUUAGCUUAUUUUACA
rnacentral:tRNA from 1 species